rnacentral:piRNA from 1 species
CUCAUGACUGGUGAGGUUGGGUGCCCUUGU